CAUUGGACUCUUCUAUCAGACCGGAAGUGGGGCUGUUGUGCUUCCUGAAUUGAAUUCAGACGGCGGCUGUGCAACGAUGUCGGGCGGUCCAGGGAGACAGGGUAGCAAAGUUGUAUCGAAAGCGGCAACGGGCGGUGCGGGGGCCGCCGGGGCUGCCGGUGCACCACCGGCCGUGCCCCUGGCCUCGCCGCUCAUGGGGAAGAAAAAGAAGCCGUUUCUGGGGAUGCCUGCCCCGCUGGGCUAUGUACCCGGGCUCGGCAGAGGUGCUACUGGAUUUACCACCCGGUCCGAUAUUGGUCCCGCUCGGGAUGCGAACGACCCAGUAGAUGACCGCCAUGCGCCCCCGGGAAAGAGGACAGUUGGGGACCAGAUGAAAAAGAACGAAGAGGAUGAGGAAGAUUUGAACGACACCAACUAUGACGAGUUUAACGGCUAUGCAGGUAGCCUUUUCUCCAGUGGGCCGUACGAGAAAGACGAUGAAGAGGCAGAUGCAAUAUAUGCGGCACUGGACAAAAGAAUGGAUGAGCGGCGCAAAGAGAGGAGGGAGCUACGCGAGAAGGAUGAAAUUGAGAAAUACCGUAUGGAGCGACCAAAGAUCCAGCAGCAGUUUUCAGAUCUAAAGAGGAAGCUGGCAGAGGUGUCGGAGGAGGACUGGCUCAGCAUCCCAGAGGUGGGCGAUGCAAGAAACAAGCGUCAGAGAAACCCGCGCCAUGAGAAGCUUACACCUAUGCCCGACAGCUUCUUCUCCAAGCACCUUCAGUCUGGUGACAAGAACACCACCGUGGACCCACUGCAGGGGCUGGGCGGUUUGAACACCCCCUACCCAGGCAGCAUGACCCCCGGAACCGGGGAGUUGGACAUGAGGAAGAUCGGCCAAGCCAGGAACACACUCAUGGACAUGAGGCUUAGCCAGGUGUCUGACUCAGUUAGUGGACAGACGGUGGUGGAUCCAAAAGGUUACCUGACCGACCUCAACUCCAUGAUCCCCACCCACGGAGGAGACAUUAGUGACAUCAAGAAGGCUCGUCUUCUGCUCAAGUCGGUGCGGGAGACCAACCCCCACCACCCCCCUGCCUGGAUCGCCUCCGCCAGGCUGGAGGAGGUGACGGGCAAGCUGCAGGUGGCUCGUAACCUCAUCAUGAAGGGCACCGAGAUGUGUCCCAAGAGUGAGGACAUGUGGCUGGAGGCGGCCAGGCUGCAGCCGGGGGACACGGCCAAGGCGGUGGUGGCCCAGGCGGUGCGCCAUCUGCCCGGCUCGGUGCGCAUCUACAUCAGGGCUGCGGAGCUGGAGACCGACGGCAGGGCCAAGAAGAGAGUGCUCAGGAAGGCCCUUGAGAAUGUGUCCAAAUCGGUGCGUCUUUGGAAGACGGCCGUGGAGCUGGAAGAACCCGAGGACGCCAGGAUCAUGCUGAGCAGAGCGGUGGAGUGCUGUCCCACCAGCGUGGAGCUAUGGCUGGCGCUGGCCAGGCUGGAGACGUACGAGAACGCCCGCCGCGUCCUCAACAAAGCCCGCGAGAACAUCCCCACGGACCGCCACAUCUGGAUCACCGCCGCCAAGCUGGAGGAGGCCAACGGCAACACGCAGAUGGUGGAGAAGAUCAUCGACAGAGCCAUCACCUCGCUGGGCGCCAACGGCGUGGAGAUCAACAGGGAACAGUGGAUACAGGAUGCAGAGGAGUGUGACAAGGCGGGCAGCGUGGCCACCUGCCAGGCCGUCAUACGGGCUGUCAUAGGGAUCGGCAUUGAGGAGGAGGACUGCAAGCACACCUGGAUGGAGGACUCAGAAAGUUGCGUGUCCCAUGGUGCUCUGGAAUGUGCCAGGGCAAUCUACGCCCACGCUUUGCAGGUGUUUCCCAGCAAGAAGAGUGUGUGGCUACGGGCUGCCUACUUUGAGAAGAACCAUGGCACCAGGGAGUCUUUGGAGGCUCUGCUCCAGAGGGCUGUGGCUCACUGCCCCAAGGCGGAGGUGCUGUGGCUGAUGGGAGCCAAGUCCAAGUGGAUGGCCAACGACGUGCCUGCAGCCAGGAGCAUCCUCGCGCUGGCCUUCCAGGCCAACCCAAACAGUGAGGAGAUCUGGCUGGCGGCCGUGAAGUUGGAGUCUGAGAACAAUGAGUACGAGCGAGCCCGUCGCCUGCUGUCCAAGGCCCGGAGCAGCGCGCCCACGGCCAGGGUGUUCAUGAAGUCGGUGAAGCUGGAGUGGGUGUUGGGGAACAUCGAGGCAGCCCACGAGCUGUGCUCCGAGGCCCUCAAGCACUACGAGGACUUCCCCAAGCUGUGGAUGAUGAGGGGCCAGAUCGAGGAGCAGUCCGAAAACAAUGACAAGGCCAGAGAUGCCUACAACCAGGGGCUGAAGAAGUGUCCCCACUCCAUGUCCCUGUGGGUGCUGCUCUCUCGUCUGGAGGAGAGGGUGGGACAGCUCACCAGGGCCAGAGCCAUCCUGGAGAAGGCUCGCCUCAAGAACCCCCAGACCCCGGAGAUAUGGUUGGAAUCAGUCCGACUAGAGUUCCGGGCAGGACUAAAGAAUAUCUCCCACACCCUGAUGGCUAAAGCCCUGCAAGAGUGCGCCAACUCUGGCAUCCUGUGGGCUGAGGCAGUGUUCCUGGAGGCCCGGCCGCAGAGGAAGACCAAGAGCGUGGACGCGCUGAAGAAAUGUGAACACGACCCCCACGUCCUGCUGGCUGUGGCCAAGUUGUUCUGGAGCGAGCGUAAGAUCACCAAGGCCAGAGAAUGGUUCCUGAGGACAGUGAAGAUCGAGCCAGACCUGGGAGAUGCUUGGGCGCUCUUCUAUAAGUUUGAAUUGCAGCACGGCACAGAGGAGCAGCAGGAGGAGGUACGCAAGAGGUGUGAGAACGCCGAGCCGCGCCACGGAGAGCUGUGGUGCGCCGAGUCCAAACACGUCCUCAACUGGCAGAAGAAGAUCGGCGAGAUCCUCACCCAGGUGGCGGCCAAGAUCAAGAACACCUUCUGAUCACGGUUUCAUUCACACGAAGGAUUCAAGGCAGUUUGGCAGGACUCGGGCGCUCGGCACACGUUAGGGGUCGGGGGAAAGGCUAUGAGCUGUGACUCUUGUUCUUUUUUUCCCUCCCGCUGUGUACAGUGAUAUGUAUACAGUGGCCACACUCUUUCAUUACAGCUGUUCACCUUUUUUAUUGCUUUGGUUGUGCUCCAUCUGGCUGAACUGUGGAAAACAACGAAAGAAACAUGUAUUUUUAUGGGUUAAUUUUGUCUCGUUAUAUUUUUGUUUUGUGUGCUUAAGUAAACGGCGUGUAUAAGCGUAUCAUUCUAGGGAGUUGUGUUGUUGAUUCUUUAUUUGUGAUGCGUUGUGUUUGACUGAACCCCUGCAGGUUUAAGAUAACAUUUUUCUCAGCUUGUUUAUUUGAUCUCUUACAAACUUAGUGGGUGGGUUUGAUUCCCCCAUAUUAUUAAAACUCAGAAAAUUGUAAUCUUUUAUUGUCUGACCGUUUUAAUGCACAUGGUUAUCUCCAUCCAAGUCCCUUUCAAUAUAUUGUAGUUAUCUGUUGUAGAGGUAAGGUAUAGUCCUACAUCAUUGCAGCUUUAUAGCUUUUCAAUGUUGCUUGAAUUUCUCAACCGGAAACUGCAUUAAAAAAAGAUACCUCUGAACCUUGCACCACUCAAACGAAAGUUUAUGUUUGAGGAAGUUUUCCUUGACUUGAUCAGACUUGAGUUUGGAGCGUAUUCUUAACCCACGAGUAGCAAGCAACCCAUGACGGUAAAGGAAACCGGAGCCGGCGUUGGAUUUGAUAACUCGGGAAAAAAAACACGUGCGAUAUCAACCUCCUGAAUGGUUAAACUUUCUGCCUGCCUACCUCUUGCUUUGGUUCGGAUACAAUCAUUCUGGGUCGGCUGGUAGCUACCAAAGCCAUCUGAUGGACUAUCAUUUCUUCUCAAAGCGAUGGGUUUUUAUGUGUUGGUCCCGCAAUAAAAUAUGAUAAAUGGGUCUCAACGGGUCUUUUCUUCGAAGUUUCACCAUGAUUAUUCUGUUGGUCGUUUGCUGUGGUGAACGCAAGUGUAACUACAAGGAAAUCCACGACACCUACCGAAACAUCAUCCUGGUAGAACUUCAAAGUCUGAAUUUGACCAGCAAAUUAAACGUAUCCAAAGAAAGGGACCACUGCCCAUCAGCGAAGGCACACCACAUCCUACGGUCUAUUCAUGGUAUGAUUCAACAGUUUAGAUGCCACAGGGGUAAAAAACGAGCAACGGCCUUGGAAAAACCAGUCGACAGCAUGGAACAGCUCCUCACUUACAACUGCAGACAGAACAUGGUAAAGCAAAAUAAAGUUUGUCCUGCGAGAAAAACAAAAGGGAAGAGACGACGGCUCCAGCGCAUUAUCAUCAUCAAGGCACUCAUCAACUGUUGGCAGAAGUUUCAAAGCAUUCUUUCACUAACUCUUUCAAAAAAUAGGAAACCAUGAUAUCCCACGUGAUAAUGUUUCCUAAAUUAACAGAUUAUCGUUCAACAGAUUAGCGUUUGCUGAACGAAUAAAUGUAAAUAGACCAAAUACAGUCAAUAAAGCUAGAUGUCUUGUCAUACGAUAGAUGUUUAUAUUUUGUAGCUUCCAAUGUUUGGUAGUCUCAGAUCUAUAGUGUACUGUAGAACCUCCUUAUACAAGUUGUAGUAUUUCUAUACUGUAAAUUUGAUCAUUGUUCUGUUUCUAUAAUCCUGUCACAUGAUUAUAUAUAAAACAUAAAUCAUACACAUCAGUGAUGGGAUCAUUUC